CUGGAAAGCCGAGCUGGGCCAACCACCUCUCAGAGCAGGAGAAUAAGGAGGGGGUUUGGGUACUUCCAACAGAGUCAAGUGUCAGUUAAAAGAAGGGUUGCCGAGGAGUGGGAGGACUCUAUUGGAGCAGAACAGAGAGGACCAUAGGCAAGAGAGGGAGGACUGGGGAGAAGGAAGAAAGAAGAGUGGAGAAGAAAAGGAAGAAAGAAUAUUUCAAGAAUAAAGAACAUUGGGAAAGAGGAGCACCUCAUCCUGGGGGAGCCAACAUGAAGAGAACCAUAAAGAACCUUUAUGAAGAGAAGAUGCUAGAACUUUAAGAAGCCCCCUAUGGCAGCUUUAACUCAGGCUCAUGAGUAUUUCCAAGAAAUAUUUCAUUUUUCUGUGUCUUCCUCUUUAUAAACUGAAAUGUUUACUGGUUGGAUUCCAUUUCAAAGUUAAAAUUCCAAUGUGAUGAAGCUGAGAUGGAGAUCUGAGCUGAGUCUCACUUUAGAAUGAUCCAAAUUCCCUAUCCAUGCCAAUGUAUGCCUCUGUGUGUGGGGGCUCUCUCUCUCUCUCUCUCUCUCUCUCUCUCUCUCUCUCUCUCUCACACACACACACACACACAUACACGAGCAUUAACAGUAAUUUCUAGUUGCCUUUGAAUUUUCAACUCCAUGAAACAUCAUAUUUAACUAUUCUACACCCCAAAGUCUAAAUGGUUCCUCCAAUCAAACAGUCCAGCCUAGCACAAUACCCCCUCUCAGACAGCCAAAGGCAUAGAUAUGGACAAACAAAGUGCAACUGUGUUAAAGUUGUUUAAUAGCCCGCCAAUGUGCAGCCCACCCAAAGGAGUAGGGCAUAGGAGAAGGAAUGGGGUGGGAGAGCUGGCAGAGACACCCCAAUAAAUAGCCAACACACAUUCAGAAUCAAAGCUAAAGAAGGUCUUUGUUUAACAUACUUGGGAUAAGAGCACAGUGUGACCUAAUGAUAUAGACUCAAGUAAGCAUCAGCACUCCCCAGGGAGAGAGAAGACUGAUAUCUGAAGGAGACAGGCAGAUGGAUGACUGCUGCCAUGGAGACUGUUAUCUGUCAGCACCAAGCUCUGAGAGUUUCUAACAUUUUGGGAACUGUGAGGCAAGUGAGGAGGUAUUACCAGUCUCUUAAUAUCCUAAGAGGUUUGUGGGUAUAGCUAGACUCUUAGCAUCCUGAAAUGGUUGCCCAGCGGCAGGAAGUUAAAUUUUCAGUGGCCUGGCAAAAGUAAAGGGUGUUGGUUGGGAGUGGGAGAAUAUAGAACUGUCUGGCAAAAAUGGCCUGAAGCUGAGGAAGAGAGUUCUUAACAAAGAUCCAUUGAUAAUGAAGAAUUUCAGAGAGGAGGCAAAGAAGAUAUUAAUGGAAACCACAGAUGGGGUGUGAGAUCAAGUGGCCCCAAUACAAACAGUGCUCUGGGUUCUCAUCUAUAAACUUGUGUGGAAACCUGUGCUUCUUACUCUUUGUUACAUGUGCAAAUCAGCUGAAUUCUACAGGAAGAUGUGCUCCCUUCCCAUUACAUCCUAGGAAAGACUCAGCAGAGAGACGUUUUGAAGCGAAACAACAACCUUUUGUUUGGAAUUAUCAAUGCCUGCUCUACUAAACUUUCGGAACAAGCUAGCACUGAAUUUUACAAGCUCACCUUCUUGGGGGGAUAUCCUAAUGAAGAGGAAAAAACAACCCAAGGAGGUUUUAUGUAAUUCAAAAGCUGGGAAGCCAGCUACUGAAUAACUGAACUUGUUGGUCAGGCUUUAUGCUAGUUAGUGAGCCCACCAGUCCUAUGAAUACCACAGCUAUUGAGGGGAUGUACAGCUAGACCUUAGAAAUCCUCAAAGCCCCUAACAAGCCCCAGCACUCCAAACACAGAUUCCAGUAUUUGACAGAUGACUUCUUUAAAUCAAACGCACAGUGCCCAGGCCAGUCUUCUCCUUGCAUAGUGCAGUCUGUGCUGUGUAUAUGCUCUGUGUUUGCUUCAUCCAUGCUUAAAGAAAGACCUGCCUUGCUUCCUAACAAUGGGUGGGAAAUGAGGCUCCUUGUCUGUAAUAUCACUCACUGGAAGCAGAAUUAAGACAAUAUUUCUACUACAGUUCCUGGGAAAAGUGUCGGUGGAAUGGUUUUUAGGUUCCGAGUUUAGAAAUUAAAAAAUGGCGCAAUAAUUAGGUGAAAUCUAUUUAAGUUUUAAUGGAGGUUGUUUGCUUUGCUGCCUUGACUGCUGAAUAAGCAUGCUUUUGAAAUCCCAUAAGAAUCACCGAGGAAAAUAAAAAGGCUCCCAUUUUUGUGAUGUUCCUGGAUGCUACUGAGGUAGAAUAAACAACCCUUUGAAUCAA